GCUGAGCAGCGCGUCAGCAUCGGCUGUUGGUGGAGCAAAGUAGGCAGCCAAAGCAGAAUGCCAAACACAGCGCGUAGCAAUGCCAGAAACAAAAGGUAGUUACAUGCAGCGUUUGGGUAGAGGCGGUGGCGACGCGGCAACAGAGGCACGGCACAAAUUCCAGAGGCAGCAAUGAUGGUGUUAUAGGCGGCCGCAUACAGGUGACUCUAGUUUGAUAGAUCUCCAACCCACACCCUAGUUCGAUCUCGGUAUCCGAGCAGUUUAGUCAGCAGCGAUUACAUAUAAAACAUCUUAUCAUAACAUCUGACUAAUUAAGCGGUUUUCAGCUCGCACUAAUCAAUGCAUUGCUGAAGAGGUAACACACAAAGGUAUAGAGAAGUUUGGCAGCAUCUGAUAAGGGUAAACGUGUGACUAUUAACAAUUUAAUUUAUAUUGAAUUAACUACGAAGAGAAACUCUACGACCAUUGCAUUACCAAGCUUAAAAUUAUUUGUGCCUUCCGUAUGUCAUUAGAAGGGAAAAUUGUUAUUAGACUUUUAUUACAACGAGACCACUGUGCGCUGUCAACUAUCACGGCAUAACCGGCAAGCCGGCAGUCGACUGCGAAUGACGGCCACGAAUGUAACGAACGAAGCGCACACUGAAAUAGAGAAGAUAUGGGAGACAUGCGACCAAACCAAAGACCAGAGCCGGCCCGGGAUAUAUAUGUGUAUGCAAAACCAAAACAACAACUAAAAUCAGCAAAUGAAGAGAACAAUCGGACAAGCAACAAACUGGCGAAACUAACAAAAAUAGCACAGAGCAACAGCAAACAAACCUGCACCGAACAGCCGCCGCAGCUCCAGAAGCCAUCCACGACGUGCUAACAUCCAACGUAAAUAUUGGCGAACAGUGCAGCUUGCGCUUGAACAAAUGCAAAAUAACCAAAAACAACAUGCAAAUAAUGGCGAUAAAAAACGAGAUGGGUAAGGAAACUGCAAUACAUCGAGAUCGGGUGAAAACGCAUAGUCGGAUAGCGGGAAGACUUGCGUGAGUGUGCCUUGCAAAAGUAGCUACAGCAAAAUCAACUGCGAAUGGAUGGUGCACGGUUAGUGGGGCAACCGGCCAAGUAGUCCGCCAGUCAGCCAGCUAGUCGGCUUAACCAUCAAGCCACACAACUGACUAGCCCCACGAACUGAUGAAGAACAUCGAUACCACAGAACAGAGCCACAGCGUACAGCUAAAAAGACGACGAACUCGAAUUUGAAAAUACACAAACAAAAUUACAGCAACGAGAAAAUAAAUAAAACUUAACAUCAACAUUAAAUAAAAACUAAAAAUAGAAGCAGAAAUAUAGCGAAAACAGAAAAAUGAAAUUCGCGACCGGUGAUUUGCGUUGAAACGAACAAACGAGCCGAAAAGAGCGCACAAAAGCGAAUUAAGCGAGAGCGGAGAAUAUGCAAGCAUACAAAAUACAAACCAGUAAGAAGUAGAGAAAGAGUACGAAUGCAGGAAAGCCAAAAACAAAUAAAAUGGAAAUAAUAAUUAUAAAAAUAUUUUAUGCGGGCAAAAGUAGUUGAGAAAUUUAUAGUUCUAUAUUUAAAUUAAAUAAAUUGCAAACUAAAAGAAGAGAAAAUCUAAUACAAACACUUAUGGGCAACCAACAUUUUGGCUUGUGGAGCAUUGCAUGAUGAGACGAGGUUAUCUACUCUACAGCAAAUAUGCAAAGAAAUGCAUUCAAAUGAACCCAAAUAGUCCCAGUCAGCCAACUAAGCAAGAAUAAUCUUAUAAACUUGUUAUAAUGUCUUAUAAAGACUACCAUUACAAAAUUGCAUUAAGUUGCUUAAGUAAGUUCUUCGCAGUGUAGUAGCAGAAGGGAGAUGUGAGAUGCUAUUUUUCGGCUACCACCUAAUCAAUGCAAGAAUCGGACUAUAAAAACUGUUUUAGCAUUUAAUGUACUUGUAAA